rnacentral:rRNA from 1 species
UAGGGAAUCUUCGGCAAUGGACGGAAGUCUGACCGAGCAACGCCGCGUGAGUGAAGAAGGUUUUCGGAUCGUAAAGCUCUGUUGUAAGAGAAGAACGAGUGUGAGAGUGGAAAGUUCACACUGUGACGGUAUCUUACCAGAAAGGGACGGCUAACUACGUGCCAGCAGCCGCGGUAAUACGUAGGUCCCGAGCGUUGUCCGGAUUUAUUGGGCGUAAAGCGAGCGCAGGCGGUUAGAUAAGUCUGAAGUUAAAGGCUGUGGCUUAACCAUAGUACGCUUUGGAAACUGUUUAACUUGAGUGCAAGAGGGGAGAGUGGAAUUCCAUGUGUAGCGGUGAAAUGCGUAGAUAUAUGGAGGAACACCGGUGGCGAAAGCGGCUCUCUGGCUUGUAACUGACGCUGAGGCUCGAAAGCGUGGGGAGCAAACAGGAUUAGAUACCCUGGUAGUCCACGCCGUAAACGAUGAGUGCUAAGUGUUGGUCUCAUAAGAGAUCAGUGCUGCAGCUAACGCAUUAAGCACUCCGCCUGGGGAGUACGACCGCAAGGUU